GCCAGUGUGGUGUAGUGGUUAGAGCAUUGGACUUUGACUUUGGAGGCCAGGGUUUGAAUCCCUGAGCAGCUG